GAUGAACGCUGGCGGCGUGCCUAAUACAUGCAAGUCGAGCGAACAGACGAGGAGCUUGCUCCUCUGACGUUAGCGGCGGACGUGUGAGUAACACGUGGAUAACCUACCUAUAAGACUGGGAUAACUUCGGGAAACCGGCGCUAAUACCGGAUAAUAUAUUGAACCGCAUGGUUCAAUAGUGAAAGACGGUUUUGCUGUCACUUAUAGAUGGAUCCGCGCCGCAUUAGCUAGUUGGUAAGGUAACGGCUUACCAAGGCAACGAUGCGUAGCCGACCUGAGAGGGUGAUCGGCCACACUGGAACUGAGACACGGUCCAGACUCCUACGGGAGGCAGCAGUAGGGAAUCUUCCGCAAUGGGCGAAAGCCUGACGGAGCAACGCCGCGUGAGUGAUGAAGGUCUUCGGAUCGUAAAACUCUGUUAUUAGGGAAGAACAAAUGUGUAAGUAACUAUGCACGUCUUGACGGUACCUAAUCAGAAAGCCACGGCUAACUACGUG
rnacentral:rRNA from 1 species